rnacentral:rRNA from 1 species
UCUGGUGAUGAUGUUCUUUAGGUUAACACCCGUUCCCAUUCCGAACACGACGGUUAAGCCUUUAGAAGCCGAUGGUACUGCACGGGAGACUGUGUGGGAGAGUAGGUGGUCGCCAGGU